rnacentral:rRNA from 1 species
AUUGAACGCUGGCGGCGUGCUUAACACAUGCAAGUCGUGCGGUAACAGGCGUAGCAAUACGUGCUGACGAGCGGCGAACGGGUGCGUAAUACAUGGGAAUCUGCCCUUUAGUGGGGAAUAACCCGGCGAAAGCCGGGCUAAUGCCGCAUAAGAUCUUCGGAUGAAAGCGGGGGAUCGUAAGACCUCGCGCUGAUGGAUGAGCCCAUGCCGGAUUAGCUAGUUGGUGAGGUAACGGCUCACCAAGGCGACGAUCCGUAGCUGGUCUGAGAGGACGGCCAGCCACACUGGGACUGAGACACGGCCCAGACUCCUACGGGAGGCAGCAGUGGGAAUAUUGGACAAGUGGGGAAACCUGAUCCAGCGACCGCCGCGUGUGUGAAGAAGGGCC